CAUACCGAAAGGUAUGCUAAUACGAGAUAAUAUGCUUUUAUCGCAUGGUAGAAGUAUCAAAGCUCCGGCAGUACAGGAUGGACCCGCGUCUGAUUAGCUAGUUGGUGAUGUAACGGCUCACCAAGGCGACGAUCAGUAGCCGACCUGAGAGGGUGAUCGGCCACAUUGGAACUGAGACACGGUCCAAACUCCUACGGGAGGCAGCAGUGGGGAAUAUUGCACAAGGGGCGAAAGCCUGAUGCAGCAACGCCGCGU
rnacentral:rRNA from 1 species